GAAGUAGACCUCGCGGACGCCAAGAGCUAGGAGAGAGAGAGAGGAUGCUGUCGAAGUAGAAUUGAAGCCAUAGUCGCCGUCGUGCCUCUGCUGGGGUUCGCAGGGAGACGACCGACCUUGUGAAGAUGUUCGAAGAAGUCGCCGAGCACGAUGAUGACUCGGGGCUGUGGGGACUCUUCACCAAAGUUUGUGAGAGCUACAGAACCGCACAACAAUGAGGCCAGGAAAUUCCACCAUCACCAUCGGUACAAACCCUCCCUCCUGUAUGGUUAUGAUCUCUGCUUCGUUUUUUUUCACGCGUAGGCACAUGAAACUAGUGUCCGUGUACCGAUGAUCUCUCGCCGACUUUGUGACAUAGACGCGAAUUCGCCCUGUGCCGUGGGCAGGGACGCUAGGCUGUACGACCACUGUGAAAUCCCAUUGUUGAUUUUCUAGUUGAUAUCUGCUUCAUGUAGCACAUGUUAGAAGGAGUGGUUGAGCGCCAGAACAUCGAUUCGGUGAUCGCCGGUGGGGGCUCCGUCGUGUAGAGCGUCGCGCCGCCGCCUGGCGUCGUUGGGAGGAAGAAGGGUGCGUGGCCGUGGAUCCAUUAACAGGCGGCCUAGAUUAGUCCUGGCAUAUCGCUUGGGGCGUUUGGAUAUGUGUCGUUGGAUCGGCAUCCUACGGCUCGCAUCAGAUCACGAUCCAUUAAGUUGUAGCCAUCGGAUCUAGAUCCAAUGGUCUGUAUUACGUACCGGUUCGUCGUAGCCGGCUUUAAUAUGGGCCCUCAGUUCUGGAUCGGACGGAUCUGAUUAUCCCGUACCCUUUCGUCGUGGAAAGUUUACGUAAGAGACCCCGAUAUUCUUCAUAAAAAACCCGCAGUCCACACUGUGGGAGUUCUGAGUCUUGGUGUCUUUUGCGCAAAACCCCCUGGGUUUCUGUUAAAUAGUGGCCGCAGUCCAAGUACCUUAGAAAACUAUUAGAUUUAAUUCAAAAAUUCUUUUUAAAUGCAAAAUAAUAUCCCAAACUUAGGAAAUUCAUAGUUAAUUCAUUUUAACUCCAAAUUGAGUCAUUCUAGUUGCAAUAAUUUUGUAUUAAUAUUGUUUAUCACCUAGUACCUUUGUUUAACCAUGAAACUUGAAUUAAAAUUGCUCAAUUGAAUUAAUCUAUUCUAGGUGCUAAAUAAUUUUAGAAAUUCAUAACUUAAUAAUCGUACCUCCGAAUUUAGCGGUUCUCGAUCCCACGAUCUCGUAGCAAGACGUAGAUCAUUAUUAUUCAGUUCUUACAUUUGGUGUGAUGUUAAUUUUGCCUAUACACUGUUUGUAUGUAUUGCUACGACUAGCGUGAGGUCACGAGUCACCUGA
rnacentral:lncRNA from 1 species